rnacentral:rRNA from 1 species
GAUGAACGCUAGCUACAGGCUUAACACAUGCAAGUCGAGGGGAAACGCCAUCGAAAGCUUGCUUUUGAUGGGCGUCGACCGGCGCACGGGUGAGUAACGCGUAUCCACCCUGCCCAUCACUUGGGAAUAACCUUGCGAAAGUAAGACUAAUACCCAAUGAUAUCCCACGAAGGCAUCGGAAUGGGAUUAAAGUUUUAUCGGUGAUGGAUGGGGAUGCGUCUGAUUAGCUUGUUGGCGGGGUAACGGCCCACCAAGGCAACGAUCAGUAGGGGUUCUGAGAGGAAGGUCCCCCACAUUGGAACUGAGACACGGUCCAAACUCCUACGGGAGGCAGCAGUGAGGAAUAUUGGUCAAUGGGCGAGAGCCUGAACCAGCCAAGUAGCGUGCAGGAAGACGGCCCUAUGGGUUGUAAACUGCUUUUAUAAGGGAAUAAAGUGGGUCACGUGUGACUUUUUGCAUGUACCUUAUGAAUAAGGACCGGCUAAUUCCGUG